GCCGGGGUGACCGAGCGGCUAGGUGGUCGGCUGCAGACCGACAUACCGGGGUUCGAAUCCCCGCCCCGGCU
rnacentral:tRNA from 1 species